GGAGUGCAGUGUAUCAUGUUGGUGAAGGUCCAAUACCAAAAAUGCAAGAAGUUCAUGAAGUUGCAACCUUCUCUUAUGGAGAUCAAGGAACCCUUCUAUGAUCCUGACACGGGCAAAGGAUAUCUGAAUUAUCGCCUGAAGACGGCAUCAAGGAAGACUCAUCAAGAAGAGUAUUUCACCCCAGUCGGGAGGCCCAACCCAUAGGAGGAAGACUGACCUGGACCACCAGCUUUUGGGUGAUGCAUGCAAGGAGGCCAUUGCAUUCCUUGUCUACUCGGCCAAUGAAAAACACAAUUAUUUAGACGAUGAAGGGGGUGUUCCAGGAGCCAGUUUAUAGUCCAGACAGAAGCACAGAUGUCCUCAGUCUUUCCCAGGUUUCUGGACAUCAAAUGAUUGGUGAAUCAGGACUUUUUGCCGACGAUGAAACAUCCUCUAAGCUCCUUGAAAAGUGGGACGUAAAUAUUGAAGCCUAAAGUCAUCAAACUGGCAAAAUCCCUGACUACGACCACCGAUUUGCGUCGCCUCCUGAAGUCUGCAGAAAAACCACCAGAGAAUGACUGAGAAACCAACUGGGAUAAUGAUAUGUCCUCCCUGCUGCUGCUUCAUCUCCUCCCACCACCAGCAGGAGGGAAGAGGACCAAGAUCAGUGCCAGUGAUGCUGUGGGUAGACUAGUGCACUUUCAUAAGUCAUACCGCAGCAUUGAAGAACAUCAUGAUGGGAGCCAUGGUCGACCGCCGUACCUCCUUGCCGUUGGUGGAAGACAGAGCCAGAUUGACAACAUCGUGUUGCCAGGCAACUAGUAGUCUACGUGUGUUUGAUUUAACUACUGUUCAAAGCCCACUUUGUCUUUAACUUGACAUAUGAUGAUGCUCUUGUCAACUUCUACAGAAGAACCUCUGCAGACAACCAUCUACAACAUUGAUAUAGGCAAAACAAGAGGCAUCGAGCAUGAUAGAGUUCAGGACAAUACUUCUUAACUAGAUAAAUGCAUCUUACGGUGCUUUUGUUGUCAAGUGUUGCACAGAAAGAGCCAGUCAUUGAUAUUGAAUUUGAGAAUUGAUCAUAGUUUCUAUUUCGCCACCAAGUUUAGAUUGGUCUGUGCUCCAGAUGGUUGAAGACCGCAGUUUUCAACAUACUCAGAAUUCAGAAACACAUUUCAAUAGUAUUCAUAGGGAUAUUGGUCAAGUCGUUGAUGCAUUAAGCUUAGAUGGGCCCUCUCAUGUUUCUGAUUCUCCAGUCCAGUCAGAAGCUCCACAAAUGUCCCACAUGAUAACACUCAAAGUGAUUGUUUUGGGUAGAAUGGACAGAGUCUUGCUAAAUAUAUGUGUGCCUCCAUUAGUGCCAAGUUGCAAGCCAGUGGUGUUGCAGAUAGUGUUGUGUCAACAGUAGUGUGUGAUUUAGAAGAGCUUACUAGUGGGCUACACUCCCAAAUUAAACAGGAUGUUAGGUCACUUAUGCCUAUGGAUAACCCCUCGACAACUGCUGUAAAGGAUAGUUUUUGAAAACCCAUUUGCCAGUUUUAACACAGAAACCAAGAGAACAAAGUACUUCAACCAAAUAUGGGGUUUUGUGGAGCCAGUAGAAGUAGUGUUGGGAGUUAGAUAUGAUAGCAGGUGGGAAAAAAGCAGGCAUAUAUGAUCAAGUCCUAGUGAAAGACACUUUUUGUAUAUAUUCCUAUACUGGAAACAUUAAAAUUCAUGUGUCGCAAUUCUGAAAUCUGUAAAUUAUUGGAAAAUGCACCUAGGGAUACAUCUGUGGAAGACACUUAUUAAGACUUUUGUGAUGGAAGUUACUUUAAGACUCAUCUCUUGUUCCCAAAACAUAU